GCCAGCAUGACAUAGUGGUUUGAGCGUUGGACUACAGCUCUGGAGACCAGAGUUCAAAUCCUGGCUUGGCC